rnacentral:rRNA from 1 species
CCGGCGACCGGCGCACGGGUGAGUAACGCGUAUGCAACUUACCUAUCAGAGGGGGAUAACCCGGCGAAAGUCGGACUAAUACCGCAUGAAGCAGGGGCCCCGCAUGGGGAUAUUUGCUAAAGAUUCAUCGCUGAUAGAGAGGCAUGCGUUCCAUUAGGCAGUUGGCGGGGUAACGGCCCACCAAACCGACGAUGGAUAGGGGUUCUGAGAGGAAGGUCCCCCACAUUGGUACUGAGACACGGACCAAACUCCUACGGAAGGCAGCAG